GACGAACGCUGGCGGCGUGCCUAAUACAUGCAAGUAGGACGCAGUUGCGAUCGGGAGAGUAACGCGUAGGUAACUACCUAUUAGAGGGGGAUAACUAUUGGAAACGAUAUCUAAUACCGCAUACUAGUAGAUGGACCUGCGUUGUAUUAGCUAGUAGGUAGGGUAAUGGCCUACCUAGGCAACGGUACAUAACCGACCUGAGAUGGUGAUCGGACACACUGGGACUGGGGAAAGGGCCAGACUCCUACGGGAGGCAGCAGUAGGGAAACUUCGGCAAUGGGGGGAAACCUGACCCAGCAACGCCGCGGGAGUGAAGAAGGUUUUCGGAUCGUAAAGCUAUGUUGUUAAGGAAGCGGUACUUAACCAGAAAGGGACGGCUAACUACGUGCCAGCAGCCGCGGUAAUAC
rnacentral:rRNA from 1 species